GGGAGUUUGGCCGAGUGGUUAAGGCGUCGUGUUUAGGUCUUCCGAAUAGGAAACCAUAUAACCCGCGAUGGGAAACCGCGCAGGUUCGAAUCCUGCAGCUCUCA
rnacentral:tRNA from 1 species